AAAUUCAGAGUUUACCCACCUCUAAUUUUACCACUACAGCACUGGGCAAGGGCUUGUGGUUCCCAGUUUACAAAAGCAUUUUUAUUCAAUAAAUGUACAUUACCAUAAAAUCUAACAUUCAUCACAAAAUAAGAAAACUAAUCGCUAAAGCCUUACGGUGAGAAGGGCCGGUGAAGGGGAAGGAAAAUUAAUAAAACGAACUUAGAGAAAACAAACCAGAGUUCACCCAGUAAAAGCACAAAAAUCCAAUGGGACACGACACACGAGGAAGACCACAACCACCCACGCCACCGGCGCCACCACCAGCCUACAGCCGGUAGGAAGGAUAACCCAAAAAAAGAAGGUUACAAGAGAAUUAAACCAAAAAUGUACAAUUAUGCAAACUAGAUCAAACUAUGCACUUAGCAGCAUUUAACAGUGCAGACAGUUACAGACAAAGUUGCAUUUAGCAGCAGGCAAAGCAGCAGUCAAAGCAGCAGUGGUCCCAAUCAACUGAUGAGAGGGAGGGAGAGAAAGACCCACACGGCAGGAAGACAUCUACCUGUGACCACACUAACAUUAGCUACAGAAUAUUGUUCGGUCUAGCGCGGAGAGAGAGGACACUUACCACCGAAAUCACAUGGCCCAAGUAAAGGACCUCCUUCUGAAAGAAUGAACAUUUACUUAGCUUGGCCUUGAGGCCCUCGGUUUCAAGUCGGCUUAGCACUACUUCUAACCGCUCCAAGUGCUGUUGAAGAAAACACGACGAUAUCAUCAAGGUAUAACAACAGAGACUGGCACUGCCGAUCCCCGAAAAUACGCUGCAUUAGUCUCUGAAAAGUACUGGGGGCAUUACAGAGCCCAAAGGCAUCCGGUUCCAUUCAAAUGGCGUACAAAAAGCAGUCUUUGCCCAAUCUAAUUCGGCAACUGGUACCUGGUUAUAACCACUGGCCAGGUCCAGGGUAGAGAACCAGCAGGCACCAGAUCCAGGGACUCCUCUAUGCGUGGUAGAGGAAAGGCAUCUUUCCUGGUUUUACCAUUUAGCUGUCUGUAGUCAACGCACAUGCGCAGACUACCAUCCUUU
ensembl:lncRNA